rnacentral:rRNA from 1 species
UACAGAGGUCCCAAGCGCUGUUCGGAUUCAUUGGGCGUAAAGGGUGCGUAGGCGGCGCGGUAAGUCGGGUGUGAAAUCUCGGGGCUUAACUCCGAAACUGCAUUCGAUACUGCCGUGCUUGAGGACUGGAGAGGAGACUGGAAUUUACGGUGUAGCGGUGAAAUGCGUAGAUAUCGUAAGGAAGACCAGUGGCGAAGGCGGGUCUCUGGACAGUUCCUGACGCUGAGGCACGAAGGCCAGGGGAGCAAACGGG